UUCACUCGUGUCAGUUUCAAGUAUCACCAUCUUCUCGAUUUGCCUCCUUCUAAUCCCUCUCAAUUCUCUCUCUCGCUCAAUAUCGCGUCUCCGGAAGGAAAGGCGCAGCUGGAUGCCUCCACACCGUUCAUCUUCUUAUGCUCUCUACCUCAACUCAGCAAUGAACAAGUCAUUAUUCCAUUUGAUCCAUAUUCAUUUCGGAAGUACUCGUUUCCUCUCUUUUCUUUGCUUUGUUCUGCUAGGUAUCCUGCAAUUUACGUUAAAUCACAUGGAUCUUGGCAAAAGGAAUGAAGCGAAAGUGCGAAACCUCAAAUGCAAGCAUUUUCCUGACGUGGAAAGAGAACAUCACAAGUUUUGAGAUUUUUCCUGUUGGCGGAAUCAGACUUCAUUCAAUGCAGAAAGAAGCAUUCUUACAAGCAAGAGCCUGGCUUUCACGGUUGAUUUUCUUUGCUUUGGGUGAUGCCUUGUAUUAGGAUCGAUGGUAUCUCUACGCGGUAAUGCUUAUGCAGUGCUGUGUUUUUGUAGUAGUAACUUUUUUUUGGGGUUAGGUAGGCUCCACAGUUAUUGUUGAGAAUUUCUUGUAAUAUUGUCAAUGAAAUAUUAUAUUCUAGAUAUUCUUUUUUAUCUCUAUGGACUGUAAA